AGCUUUGCACAGUGGCAGUAGCAUAGCCAAUGAGGUUUAUCAGAGGUAUGAUUAUUGCUAAUUGAAACCUUCCUGAAUCUUAAUUGGACCAACUGUGAAACAAAGAGUUUGAACUUGAUUUUAGAGAGAUUAUUUAGU
ensembl:snRNA U4 U4 spliceosomal RNA